AUGACUCUUGCCCCUGGCAGUUCCAACACAGGGGCCACAGCUUCUCUAGGUGAAAGUGCAACAACAAGAGGUGGAACAACCAGCGCUACCACUGGAGCAUUCUCUGGAAAGACUCUUGAACCUGGGAAUGACAACACAGGCAAGUCCAAAAGCACACAGGGAAUGCUACACUUUGGCUGCUCAGGUGACAGUUUCCUAGGGUUACAAAACCCUGUACCUUACAAUACUGCAGACUUUAUCUUUGCUUUCUUUUCUCUCAGAGGCCACACGUUCCACAAGAGGAGUCAGCACCACAGGGUCAGAAGCUCCAGCAGAGGCCACAACUCUCACAGGAGACAGAAGCAGUACUAGAAGUGAAUCCAGAACAGCCACCACUGGGGUAGCUCCUGGCACAACUGUUGCCCCUGGCAGUUCCAAGACAGGUAAGUCAACAGGUUGACA
rnacentral:lncRNA from 1 species